GCUCCUGCAGGUGACAGUCCAGAUGCCACACCUCAACGGCCAUCUACUUUAAUAGCAGAUCCACCUCUGCCUGAACUGUCAGGGGCGACGAAAGCGAUGCUACUAGAGCCUACCUGUUCCCGAAAAGUGUGGCUACAGCUGAUUGAAGAGACAAAAAAUUAUUAUCUAAAGUUUUAUCCCUUGAUUGAAUCAAAUCCUAUGGGGACAUACAAAGCAAUUGGAAUGAAGAUGGUGUCUGCUUAUCCAUCCAUCAAGCGUGAAGGCUUGUUUCCAUGGAGUCAGUUUACUAGGGCCCUCAGUCAGAGCAUUCGAACUGAGCGUUAUAAACAGAAGAGAAAGAGCAUGCCUCAUGUACAACAUGCUCAUCCAGCCCCCAAAAGAUUUGCUUUGGGUAGGAAGCAGUUUACCACUAUAGAGAAUCAAGAACGUGAGCUGACCGAAGACGAAUUCGUGAGGCACACCAAAGAACUUUGCCAGGAAAUGAAAAAGAAAAAUCUUAACACUGAGCAUAUAAAUAUGCUUUUUAACUGCUACAAUGGUGAACCGACAAAAGUGGAUAUCAACACUUCCUGGUGGACUCAUCUCACCAAUAUUGAUGAAGUUCCCUUGCUUCUGGAAGAGCAGUUUUAUCAAAACUGAGAUGGAAAGACUUCUCAAGGAUACCACUGAAAGCUGGAAGACUAAAUUGAACAAGAUAUGUGACACACUGAUUAAGAAGGUUCCCAAGACUGACCAUCAUGUAAGUAAUUUUACUUGCUUUCUAUUUUUCUUCACAUACCUAUACCAAAUGUUUUAUCUAUUCAUUUGCUACAUCCAUUCCCCAUUGAUCUAUUACUUAAUGAAGCAUCUUUACACUGAACAUUCAUAUUCAUAUCUCAUAAUGAACUUACUUUUCCCUACUG